rnacentral:rRNA from 1 species
AUUGAACGCUGGCGGCAGGCCUAACACAUGCUAGUCGAGCGGAUGGAGGGAGCUUGCUCCUGGAUUCAGCGGCGGACGGGUGAGUAAUGCCUAGGAAUCUGCCUGGUAGUGGGGGAUAACGUCCGGAAACGGGCGCUAAUACCGCAUACGUCCUGAGGGAGAAAGUGGGGGAUCUUCGGACCUCACGCUAUCAGAUGAUCCUAGGUCGGAUUAGCUAGUUGGUGGGGUAAAGGCUUACCAAGUCGACGAUCCGUAACUGGCCUGAGAGGAUGAUCAGUCACCCUGGAACGGCAACCCGGUCAAGACUCCUACGGGAGGCAGCAGUGGGGAAUAUUGGACAAUGGGCGAAAGACUGAUCCAGCCAUGCCGCGUGUGUGAAGAAGGUCUUCGGAUUGUAAAGCACUUUAAGUUGGGAGGAAGGGCAGUAAGUUAAUACCUUGCUGUUUUGACGUUACCAACAGAAUAAGCACCGGCUAACUUCGUG